rnacentral:rRNA from 1 species
GAUUAAGUUAUUAAGGGCGCACGGUGGAUGCCUUGGCACUAGAAGCCGAUGAAGGACGUUACUAACGACGAUAUGCUUUGGGGAGCUGUAAGUAAGCUUUGAUCCAGAGAUUUCCGAAUGGGGAAACCCAGCAUGAGUUAUGUCAUGUUAUCGAUAUGUGAAUACAUAGCAUAUCAGAAGGCACACCCGGAGAACUGAAACAUCUUAGUACCCGGAGGAAGAGAAAGAAAAUUCGAUUCCCUUAGUAGCGGCGAGCGAAACGGGAAGAGCCCAAACCAACAAGCUUGCUUGUUGGGGUUGUAGGACACUCUAUACGGAGUUACAAAGGACGACAUUAGACGAAUCAUCUGGAAAGAUGAAUCAAA